UCGACAUAAAAAUAACUAAACUAUUUUAUUAAGGAAAUCAGAAACCAACUAUUUAUACAUUCAUAGACACAAAUAGUUUUUGGAGCCAGGCCGAGUCGAAAAUUAAAAUGCGCAUUCGAAGUUGGCAGCGAAAAAAUUCAGAAAUCGGAAAUAUUUAACGUAAAUAAGAACGUACUGUGAACUUUUGUAUGAACGCCCCCACCACGAAUAAUUAAUGACGUAGAGACAAAAAGCAAUUGCCGUCUCACAAUUAUACAAAGAAUACCAGAAGACAGUUGAAAAUCUUUUCAGUCUCUGUCGUUUCGCGUCUGUGACUACUUCUAACCUUACAUCCUCAAAAUGCUGAACGCCUCGGAAGGUACCAACCUAGUGGCGACCUAUUGCAUCUUGCUCCUGCUGCUGGUAUCCUUGUGGCUCAUGUAUUCGGCGUUCUAACACCCACAUAUGUUCGGCUCACAACCAAGAUGAGGGGCGGCUAACUUUAAGAAACCGUAAUCUUAAUAAGUUAAGUUAAGCAAUGUAAGCAUUUAGGAAGAACAGUUAAGAAGGAAGAUCAGAGGGAUGGCAGAUGGCACCAACGGGAGAGAAGUGCAGGGCAUUCCAAAUAAUAAGUAAAGAGAGAAAGACAUCACAGCUCUACGAAUGAAAACUCCGAUUUUGUUAGGCAACAGAUUUGUAAUAAAGUUUUUU